CUCAUCCAUUCUGCCUUUAACUUACUGACUCAUUCUGAAUUUCAAGGGUCACAAUCGCAUGACUGCAAACAAAGUAUUGGAGCACGCUGAGCUAAUCAUGAUCAUGAAAGAGACAACCCUGUAAUCUCAUAUGGAGUGGGACAAGGUGAACAAAACGAGUAGAAAAGAAGGCUGAGUGGUGCAGACCUUGUUCGAACUGCGUUUCUCAACUCUUCAGUCAUGUCACUGAGGUGGAGAUGCCCAGAAGCCCUGCUAAACCUCAAUCUCCACCUCUCGGGGGCUAAGGAGUUUGGAGCUGGGCACUGCCAGGUGCCUCACUCUCAUGCUCAUGUCAAAUCUAUAUCUCUCAUCUAGAGUUCAGUCUGUGAACUCUGCGGUCUCCUGCAUCGUCUUUAUUACAGACAUUGGAGAGAUGUCAAGAAAUGAACAACAGCUACUAUGGUGAAAGCAAUUGUAUGUUAUAGAUGUAAUUUCUA